CUACUCAAAGCAACUUUUUCAAUUAGUUUUUUGAGAAAAGAAAUUAUACCAAACAGCUAUCACCUAACAUCUAAUUUACCAAACACCCUUCUACAAUCAGCCAAUGUUAUUCAUAAAUCAUACCUUCAAACU